GAGUUUGAUCGUGGCUCAGAUUGAACGCUGGCGGCAUGCCUUACACAUGCAAGUCGAACGGCAGCACGGGAGCUUGCCCCUGGUGGCGAGUGGCGAACGGGUGAGUAAUGCAUCGGAACGUAUCCUGGAGUGGGGGAUAACGUAGCGAAAGUUACGCUAAUACCGCAUAUUCUGUGAGCAGGAAAGCGGGGGACCUUCGGGCCUCGCGCUCUUGGAGCGGCCGAUGUCGGAUUAGCUAGUUGGUGAGGUAAAGGCUCACCAAGGCGACGAUCCGUAGCAGGUCUGAGAGGAUGAUCUGCCACACUGGAACUGAGACACGGUCCAGACUCCUACGGGAGGCAGCAGUGGGGAAUUUUGGACAAUGGGGGCAACCCUGAUCCAGCCAUGCCGCGUGAGUGAAGAAGGCCUCGGUUGUAAGUACGUCUUCGUCG
rnacentral:rRNA from 1 species